rnacentral:rRNA from 1 species
UACGUAGGGUGCAAGCGUUAAUCGGAAUUACUGGGCGUAAAGCGUGCGCAGGCGGUUCGUUGUGUCGGCGGUGAAAGCCCCGGGCUUAACCUGGGAAUGGCCGUUGAAACUGGCGAACUGGAGUGUGGCAGAGGGGGGUGGAAUUCCGCGUGUAGCAGUGAAAUGCGUAGAGAUGCGGAGGAACACCGAUGGCGAAGGCGGCGACCUGGUCCUUGACUGACGCUGAGGCGCGAAAGCGUGGGGAGCAAACAGG